rnacentral:rRNA from 1 species
UACGUAGGGGGCUAGCGUUGUCCGGAUUUAUUGGGCGUAAAGAGCGUGUAGGCGGCCAGGUAGGUCUGCUGUGAAAUACUCGAGGCUCAACCUCGAGACGCCGGUUGAAACCAUCUGGCUAGAGUCCGGAAGAGGAGAGUGGAAGUUCCUGGUGUAGCGGUGAAAUGCGCAGAUAUCAGGAAGAACACCCGUGGCUAAGGCGGCUCUCUAGUACGGUACUGACGCUGAGACGCGAAAGCGUGGGGAGCGAACAGG